rnacentral:rRNA from 1 species
AUUGAACGCUGGCGGCAGGCCUAACACAUGCAAGUCGAACGAGUGGCGGACGGGCGAGUAAUGUAUGGGAAACUGCCUAAUGGAGGGGGAUAACUACUGGAAACGGUAGCUACUACCGCAUAACAUCCGAUGUGCCCAGAUGGGAUUAGCUACGUGGUGGGGUAACGGCUCACAAAGGCGACGAUCCCUAGCUGGUCUGAGAGGAUGACCGGCCACACUGGAACUGAGACACGGUCCAGACUCCUACGUGAGGCAGCAGUGGGGAAUAUUGCACAAUGGGCGAAAGCCUGAUGCAGCCAUGCCGCGUGUAUGAAGAAGGCCUUCGGGUUGUAAAGUACUUUCAGCGGGGAGGCGUUACCCGCAGAAGAAGCACCGGCUAACUCCGUGCCAGCAGCCGCGGUAAUUC